rnacentral:rRNA from 1 species
UACGUAGGGUGCAAGCGUUAAUCGGAAUUACUGGGCGUAAAGCGUGCGCAGGCGGUUCGUUAAGUCAGAUGUGAAAGCCCCGGGCUCAACCUGGGAACUGCAUUUGAAACUGGCGGGCUUGAGUAUGGCAGAGGGGGGUGGAAUUCCGCGUGUAGCAGUGAAAUGCGUAGAGAUGCGGAGGAACACCGAUGGCGAAGGCAGCCCCCUGGGCCAAUACUGACGCUCAGGCACGAAAGCAUGGGGAGCAAACAGG